rnacentral:rRNA from 1 species
CCUACGGGCGGCAGCAGUGGGGAAUAUUGCACAAUGGGGGAAACCCUGAUGCAGCGACGCCGCGUGAGGGAGGAAGGAUUUCGGGAUGUAAAGCUCUAUCAGCAGGGACGAAAAAAGACGGAACCGGACGAAGAAGCGCGGGCUAACUACGUGCCAGCAGCCGCGGUAAGACGUAGGGGGCAAGCGUUAGCCGGAUUUACUGGGUGUAAAGGGAGUGUAGAGGGCAAGGCCAGCCAGAAGUGAAAGGGCAGGGCUCCACCCUGUACAUGCGUUUGGAACUGUGGUGCUAGAGUGCAGGAGAGGUAAGUGGAAUUCCUAGUGUAGCGGUGAAAUGCGUAGAUAUUAGGCGGAACUCCAGUGGCGAAGGCGGCCUGCUGGACGACAACUGACGGUGAGGCGCGAAAGCGUGGGUAGCAAACAGGAUUAGAUACCCCUGUAGUC